GUGCCAGCCGCCGCGGUAAGACGUAGGAGGCGAGCGUUGUCCGGAUUUACUGGGCGUAAAGCGCGCGCAGGCGGUCGCGCAGGUCAUCUGUGAAAGCCCCCGGCUCAACCGGGCGGAUGCGGGUGAAACCGCGCGACUGGAGGGUGGGAGAGGUCGGUGGAAUUCCCGGUGUAGUGGUGAAAUGCGUAGAUAUCGGGAGGAACACCCGUAGCGAAGGCGGCCGACUGGACCACACCUGACGCUGAGGCGCGAAGGCCAGGGGAGCGAACGGGAUUAGAUACCCCCGUAGUCC
rnacentral:rRNA from 1 species